rnacentral:rRNA from 1 species
AUUGAACGCUAGCGGGAUGCUUUACACAUGCAAGUCGAACGGCAGCGCGGACUUCGGUCUGGCGGCGAGUGGCGAACGGGUGAGUAAUGUAUCGGAACGUGCCCAGUAGCGGGGGAUAACUACGCGAAAGCGUAGCUAAUACCGCAUACGCCCUACGGGGGAAAGCAGGGGAUCGUAAGACCUUGCACUAUUGGAGCGGCCGAUAUCGGAUUAGCUAGUUGGUGAGGUAACGGCUCACCAAGGCGACGAUCCGUAGCUGGUUUGAGAGGACGACCAGCCACACUGGGACUGAGACACGGCCCAGACUCCUGCGGGAGGCAGCAGUGGGGAAUUUUGGACAAUGGGGGCAACCCUGAUCCAGCCAUCCCGCGUGUGCGAUGAAGGCCUUCGGGUUGUAAAGCACUUUUGGCAGGAAAGAAACGUCGCGGGCUAAUACCCCGUGGAACUGACGGUACCCGCAGAAUAAGCACCGGCUAACUACGUG